GGAAUAUAAAAACCCGUCUCUUAACUUUUAAUUAAAAAAAUUAAGAACCGACUCUUAAAUAAGAGUUUUAAAAGAAAAUUUUUAGAUUUUUUAGUUAAAAGUUAAGAGACGGAUUCUUAUAUUCC
rfam:Brassica oleracea var. oleracea cultivar TO1000 chromosome C9, whole genome shotgun sequence